rnacentral:rRNA from 1 species
UACGUAGGGUGCGAGCGUUGUCCGGAAUUAUUGGGCGUAAAGAGCUCGUAGGCGGCUUGUCACGUCGGGUGUGAAAGCCCGGGGCUUAACCCCGGGUCUGCAUUCGAUACGGGCUGGCUAGAGUGUGGUAGGGGAGAUCGGAAUUCCAGGUGUAGCGGUGAAAUGCGUAGAUAUCUGGAGGAACACCGGUGGCGAAGGCGGCAUUCUGGACCGAUAUUGACGCUGAGGAGCGAAAGCCAGGGGAGCAAACGGG